GUGAGCUGUUGCCUGGGUUUAGCGUCUUUCGCAGAGUAAAUACAGUGUUACGUUCUUGUUGUGUUAAGGGCUGUAAGUUAAUAGCAAAUCACGCGAUCGAAAAGGUAAACAAAUUAUCACGACGACAGAUAUAUUAAAUUUCCCACUCAGAAGAAAGGAUAUUGACAGACUGUAGCAGUGCAUGGGGUGCCCUGGCCUGCAGCAUUGAGGCGCAAAAUAUAUCUUUUGCUGGCAUAUCUCCAUUUAUGCUCUCGACAUUUUCACAAAGUAAUUGCCAAUGUGGACUCCAGCAUGUCUACAUGUUCUGUCAAGAGACUGGAUUCUGAGAGCGAGCUCCUGUGAAGUGUCCAUCAAAGCUAAAGAGAAGAAUUGGGUCAGCGUUCAGCAACUGUCCAGAGUUGAUGGAUGUUCUGUUUAAGCCUGAGUAAAAAUGUUAUGAACAGGUAUAUAUUUAUCUUACAUUGUUUGUGUUU